rnacentral:rRNA from 1 species
CCUACGGGUGGCUGCAGUAAAGAAUCUUCCACAAUGGACGAAAGUCUGAUGGAGCGACACCGCGUGCAGGAUGAAGGUUUUCGGAUCGUAAACUGCUUUUCUGGGGGAAGAACUAUGACUGUACCCUAGGAAUAAGCACCGGCUAACUCCGUGCCAGCAGCCGCGGUAAUACGGAGGGUGCAAACGUUACCCGGAAUUAUUGGGCGUAAAGCGUCCGCAGGCGGCGCAGUAAGUCAGAUGUUAAAUCUCGAGGCUCAACUUCGAAUUUGUAUCCGAAACUGCUGUGCUAGAGUCUUUCAGAGGUGAGUGGAAUCUCACAUGUAGGGGUAAAAUCCGUAGAUAUGUGGAGGAACACCAAAAGCGAAGGCAGCUCACUGGGAAAGUACUGACGCUCAUGGACGAAAGCGUAGGUAGCAAACGGGAUUAGAUACCCUAGUAGUC